rnacentral:lncRNA from 1 species
CGGAUCGUCCACACGAAGCUUCCGUCUGAUCAGCUCCUCACGAAUGCUAGUUCGUGAUUUCACCCUUUUGAUGGCAGAUGUUGAUCGAACUCCUUCGAUCGAUGUGUGCCGACUUCUCGAAUACUCUGGAUCAUCUGCACAGUUGCUUGAGAGGUUGAUGGAUCUCUCCCUGAAAUUUGGUGGACUCACGACACUCGUGGCACACCAAUCUUACUUCCCGAACCCUAGGUAGAAACCCUAGGGUACACACCAAAAACCCUGCGCCCAAUUUUCUCUCUUUUCUUUCUUUUUCUCUCGAAAGGUUUUGGACCU